rnacentral:lncRNA from 1 species
CGGAAAAGCCAACACCAUGGUAGCAUUAAUGAAAGUUUACCAAGAGGAAGAUGAAGCCUACCAGGAGUUAGUUACCGUGGCAACCAUGUUUUUCCAGUACUUACUGCAGCCAUUUAGGGCUAUGCGAGAAGUUGCAACUUUAUAAGUCCUUGGAUGAGGAUGACCUAGGUCCUAGAAGGGUAGUUGCCCUGGAGAAAGAAGCUGAAGAAUGGACCAGACGGGCUGAAGAAGCUGUCGUCUCUAUUCAAGAUAUCACAGUGAAUUAUUUUAAGGAGACAGUAAAAGCAUUAGCAGGAGUUUCUGAUAUAUUGCGCAGAAUCAACAAGAUAUAAAGCAGAAUGAUGAUCCUGGUUUUUUGGUCAAACUAUCCAUAUGAGCCUGUCUGUCUAGCUAGUCAUAGAAACAAUAUGGAAGCAAGUGUGCCAAAAUAUAAGAAGAAGUUGCCUCAACUAGGAAUGCAGAAAGAAAUGGAACAGGAUGUGAAGAGAUUUGGCCAGGCUGCCUGGGCCACAGCAAUUCCCAGGUUGGAAAAACUUAAGCUAAUGCUAGCUCAAGAGACUCUGCAACUCAUGAGAGCGAAAGAGUUGUGUUUAAAUCACAAAAGAGCUGAAAUUCAGGGAAAGAAAAACAGGAUGAAGUUGUCUAUUACGAUCCAUGUGAAAGUCCAGAGGAACUUAGUCAUUGACUGUGGUGGGGCUGCAGGACGAUAAGAAUUUGGAAGUGAAAGAACUCAGAAGGCAGUGCCAGCAGCUGGAGUCUAUUAAACGGGGCAGGAUCUGUGUCAAAAGAGCUUCUCUCCAGAGUAGAAAGGAUCAGUGCAAAGAAAAUCAUUGGCUCAGAUUGCAACAGGCUGAAGAAAGCAUAAGAUAUUCUCGUCAGCAUCACAGUAUUCAGAUGAAAAGAGACAAGAUAAAAAGGAGCAAAAGAAAAAAGAAUGGAUCAACCAAGAAAGUCAAACACUCCAACGAUUGAGAGCAUUUAAAGAUCAGCCACAGACUUCUUGGCCUCUCAAAUGCCCGGAUGCCUGAAACUUCUGAAGAGAUACUGCCUUCAGCUUCUUCUCAGUCCCAGCACGGUGUGAACACGUAGCUCCAAUGAUGCCUCUGCUUGCUUCAGCCUGCUGGUGCUUAAUUAGGUGCUUAUCCUAACACCUUAGAACAUACUUUCUGUAGAUGGUUUAAUUCCAACCAUCAUAUAUGCUUUUUCUCAGAUUUUCUCCAGCUUCUCAAAACUUCCCUGUAAAUGAGGCCUUGUAGGCAGCUUUCUUGCUAUGACCUCACCUUCC